rnacentral:rRNA from 1 species
UAAAGAUCACUUUCAACAACGGAUCUCUUGGCUCUCGCAUCGAUGAAGAACGUAGCGAAGUGCGAUAAGUAGUGUGAAUUGCAGAAUUCCGUGAAUCAUCGAAUUUUUGAACGCAAAUUGCGCUUCCUGGCAUCCCGGGAAGUAUGCCUGUUUGAGGGUCAGU